AGGAGCUUUUCGAUUGAUUGUGUGCUAACUCUAAGCAUCUGGACAACAGACACAAUAUUCCCACCACGGCAAGGAUGCUGAAUGAGCAAGCCGAGGCCAGAGGCUGAGCCCUUAAUUUGCUGUCAGGAUGGCGGGAAGGCUCAGGGUCCUUGCUGUUAUUUAUGCGUGAAUGCUACACCCACUUCAGUUGGAUGAGGCAGAAUCUUCAAGACUUCGUGAGUCAACAGAUUGGUCUCAGGGACCAAGAUGAGAAAACGGCAGAAGGCACAGAAACCAAGAGAAGACCCUAGAAGUUGUGAGACCCCCCUGAAAAGGCAUUGUAUCCUGUCACGCUGCGACCAGUGGAAUGUUAAGUAUUAAUUUUUGUCAUUCAGUAAACCUUGCCUGUUUGCACUCUGUAUCACUGAUUGUCCCUUUCGCCAAUAGGGUUAUUCUCCUAGAAGAAUUUCCUUACUCUGGAGGGUAGCACAGAGUUGAACUCUCAACACAGAACAAGCUAUCCCAUUGAGAACCAUUGUGGUGAAAUCACUGGAGGUUAACCUUUCUCCUUCUUUCUGUGUGGAAGGAGCGGCUACAGCAGCCAAGAUUCCUGGUGGAAGUUUUCAAGACAUGGUGCUGCUGAGGAACCGGAGACCCACCACGGAGCUGAGCCAAGCACUUUGCAUGACUGGAAAAUAAGGCUUCUUGCAACUUUCAAUUUUCAUCUGAUCAUCAAUCUUGGGAAGAUCAUGGAAAUAAGCCAGGCAUCUGGCUUAUUAGACAUAAGACAUCUUCAAUGAUCUACAAGUGUUUCCUUUUCCAACAUUGAAUCUUCAAAAAGACUGCAGUGUUGGUACACCAGAGACAACUAGAUGGAGUGAAUUGUGCUUUGAAUGCCUUUGACAACGGGACUUCAAUGAAAGGGUCAGAACGAAUUUCCAAUUCAAAACUGAUCACCUUCCGAACAGAGUAUCCCAAAGGCUGGGAUGCCAUUUUUGAUUUGUAAAUGUGCUACAAACACCUAAUUUGCAUUGCCUUUGUUAAAUUCUCAUUUAAAUUUAUAUAGAAUGUAUUCAAAUAAAGCUUGAGUUAGUUAAGAUGUUAAAAUAAAAGCUUCUUCACCUGUC